AAAUUUGACUGUGCACACGCCAUUUGAAGUUUAUAUGGAGAUUACUAUGGAAAACGCCAAUCUUUUGUAUUCAGCCCUCUAUCUCUUCAUCAUAAUAUUUUCUGGAAAAGUGAAUAAAUUCGUCUAAUGUGAAAUGCUCCCAGCUACAACUUCCAUAGUAAUUUCCAUAUAAACUUCAAAUAGCGUGUGCACAACCAAAUUUCUUCCGAAUCACUUCAAAUUUUGGGAGGAUCAUUUUCAUCAUAAUUGACAUCAUUUAAGCAUAGGGGAGCAAAAACUUCAAAAUUUGCAUCAGUCUACUGCUACUAUUAAUCAUGCUUGUUACAAGUUGUGAAACAUUGCCGAUCAUGGACCGAUACAGAUGCGAUGUUUUCUUCACUUGCUCUGAUCGUGGUUCGAAAUAAAUUGAAAAUGAAUUCUGCAAUGCCUGGUCUUAUCGAAUUUCUUGACAAAUUAUUCACAGAACUCCUGUAUUAAUCUUGAGUAUUAUAUCGAAUUAUUAGCAAAUUCCUUACGAAUUAUUCAAAAAGUUUAUCAUGACGCAAUUUUACAAAAACAUGAAUUCAUUGAAUCAAAAUAUUAGAUUUCUGGUUAGAAAAACUGCACAAUCCUGUGAAAGACAUUGUAGGAUUCUGGCAGACAUAAUUGUUAUUACCAAUGCAGUUAUUUUUAUAGCUAUCAUAACAGAAUUUUUGAAUCCAUGUAUCAGAUUUUGACGGAGUUCUAGGCACAAUUCUUACAGAACCAUGAGCAGCAAUUUCUAUACCUCCCUUCCCCAUUGUGAUCUUUUGAUCGGUUUUAUACAAAAAAAUAAUGAAAUUAGUAUGGACCGUGUUCAUUGCCAUGGAGGUCUGGUCUCCCCCAUAAAUGACCAUGUGGCUUAUGGACGACUCCAAACGACCCUUUGCUUGCUUCACUUGAUCGAGUUUUUGAAAAUGUUGCAAAAUUUUACUCACUCCUCAAUUUUAUUAUUGAGAUUUGGCCCGCGGUUCAAAAAGGUUGAGCAAGCCUGUAAUAGAGAGUUCCUAAAAUGUUGAUGAAAAAGGUACACUAUUCUGAUCACAGGAACGUGCUACAGUAACAAAAAUUAAAAAAGUAAAAUAUUUCAACACCAAUUGAAAACCUUCUACAUAAUUGCAAAACUUUUAUCAUCAAGAUAAAUGGGACUUUGAAAAUCGUUCAACAAUAAUUGUUAUUUAUGUAAGAUGAGCUAGUCUAGAAUAAUAAAAAAAAACAACCAUGUUGCUGCUGAUAUGAUCGAUAGAAGUAGUUGAGCCAAGCGGAAUCGAAACACAAACAGAACAACAACAAUUACUACGUACUAGAAUUAGCUAGAAGUGAACAAGCGAAAGUUACAACACAGCAUAGAUUUAUAUGAACAUAUAUAUUUUUGUUACCAGUAAAAUUUUUAUAAACCGAACAAAAAAUUGAUAAAAAAAAAACAUGGAACGCUGCGGUAGUGCUAUUGUUAGAUCAAAUUAUUCGACGAAAAGUUUCAGUUUCGCUUAAACUAUAAACCGGAAAGCUUACUGCACCCAUGAAAUCUCUUUGAACCCGCUUCCGUCUCUAUCCUUCCAUUUUCGCUGCACUUUUACCGUACGUUUAUGCUGUGAUACCUUGAGCAGAAGAGAAAAACUUUCCAGCCACAAAUUAAAAUCACCCACGAGAAACUCAUUCUCACCAUUAACUACAUCACACGACUGCAAUAUUCCAGCAUGGAUUCGUCGGAAAGAAGGUCGAGGUAGAGAACCAGAGAGAGAGAUUCUUUCCUAAGCCACUCACUGUUGCUACUUUUCGGUCAUACCAACUCCAACUCGCUUUUUUUUUGCGUUUGCUUCACUUCAAAUUUAUUGUUCCUCAGGAAUAGGAAACUUUCUUUCCCCUUGCAGCCAAACAGGCAAACCGCUUUGCUCGUAAUUUCUAUCUUUCAGCUCUGUAAAUAUUACCUACUGGAGAAGUGCGAACCGAGACCAGAAGUAACCAUAAAGUUAAACUUUAAACUAAAAACUUCUCUUGCUAAAGAAAUACGGAUCAGAAAAACUACUACUACUACCACUAUUACUAUUAACACAAAAAGGAAAGUACAGGGUCAAAAUUUAGUUUUGUUUUCCUACGCGGUCUUCCGGCGAAGUCCCGAAGGAGAAAUAUUUAUUUUUCUACUUGCAAUCAAAACCGAAUUUAUGUUAAAACUUUGAAAUGUGUAAGUGUUACUAAUCCAUUAAGAUCGUUUAAUGUGUUGACAAACAGCAGGAGACCUUAGUCGCAAAAUAUUGGGUUGCAUUCGAAGCUUUGGCAAUACUGUUCCGAUGAUUUGCAUUCUCCCAAAGAUUCACUGCCAAAAUGCAAAAUGAACUUCGAUUAAGGUAAAAGCUAAACUAGUCUACAGAUGUCACCAAAGGUUACCGUUUACUGUAAAUUUCCAUUAUUCUCACUGUGCAAAGCUUAUCCGUCUCGAGACGAAAAGAGCAACUCAAAGUCGGUGUUAUUGUAACUGUCAUUUUUCAAUUGCUGCUAAUAACUAUUUAACGAUCACACUUAUCUCUCUGAACAGAAAAUCAAAACCGAAGCACAAACCUUCAAAGCGAAGGAAAUUCAUGUGAGUGAAACUGAAUGAACGGGCAUGAUGCAAAUAAAAAAUCGAAAAUCAAA